CCUACGGGGCGCAGCAGUGAGGAAUAUUGGUCAAUGGGCGAGAGCCUGAACCAGCCAAGUCGCGUGAGGGAAGACGGUCCUAUGGAUUGUAAACCUCUUUUGCCGGGGAGCAAAAAGCGGUACGUGUACCGCAUCGAGAGUACCCGGAAAAAAAGCAUCGGCUAACUCCGUGCCAGCAGCCGCGGUAAUACGGAGGAUGCGAGCGUUAUCCGGAUUUAUUGGGUUUAAAGGGUGCGCAGGCGGCGAGUUAAGUCAGCGGUAAAAAUUCAGGGCUCAACCCUGUCGAGCCGUCGGAACUGGCAGUC
rnacentral:rRNA from 1 species